GAGGCAGGUAGCCUGGUGGUUAGAGGAGGCAGGUAGUCUAGUGGUUAGAGGAGGCAGGUAGCCUAGUGGUUAGAGGAGGCAGGUAGCCUGGUGGUUAGAGGAGGCAGGUAGCCUAGUGGUUAGAGGAGGCAGGUAGCCUAGUGGUUAGAGGAGGCAGGUAGCCUGGUGGUUAGAGGAGGCAGGUAGCCUGGUGGUUAGAGGAGGCAGGUAGUCUAGUGGUUAGAGGAGGCAGGUAGCCUAGUGGUUAGAGGAGGCAGGUAGCCUGGUGGUUAGAGGAGGCAGGUAGCCUAGUGGUUAGAGGAGGCAGGUAGCCUGGUGGUUAGAGGAGGCAGGUAGCCUGGUGGUUAGAGGAGGCAGGUAGCCUGGUGGUUAGAGGAGGCAGGUAGCCUGGUGGUUAGAGGAGGCAGGUAGCCUGGUGGUUAGAGGAGGCAGGUAGCCUGGUGGUUAGAGGAGGCAGGUAGCCUAGU